UGUGGGAGCCAUGAAGUCAUGGCAAAGGCUUGUAGCGCCACCUGGUGCCUCGCUGACCUCAGUGACCUGCAUGUCCGUGCCUUGCAGUGUAUUAAGUGCAUAACCUUAUAUGGCGAUGGGCGGGUUAAAGCCAUGACCGGAUGUAGGUAACAUGAGACAUUGGCAAACGGCCAUGCGACAGGAGAGAACAAAGGAUAAUAAAAGAUACCGGAGAGGAGAGAAGUUCGAAAGGAGCUGCUCAUACCAUCCUGAAAAUAUUGCUGGCUCUCUGUGUCUUUAUUUUAUGCUAAACUGUGCCAUUUGUGACGGCUGGCUUCCGUCAAGUGGUGCCCCCUGUGUGAGGCUGACUAAAAGAAUACGUCUGAGGCUUUUAAAAGAAAACCUUGUGAGGUUUUUCGAUCCACGCAACGGAUAUCAUCGACUCACCACGCCCGGCAAGGGUUUCAAGCGCUAAUCAUCUUCGGAUCCCCGGUGAGUUCGAUCCCUCUUUUAUCUCAAUUUUAGAAAAAUGGGCAGCUCUUUGUCUACUCCCCAACAGAAAUUUUUAAAAGACUUAAAAUUUCUCCUCUCCUCCAACAAAUUGGAAGUUCCGGAGGGUGAUUUGAUACAGCUUAUUCUGGCCAUUGAUGAGCAUUGCCCCUGGUUUCCUGCAGAUGGGACUUGGGAAUUAAAACACUGGGACAAGAUUGGUGCACAUUUUCAUGGGCACCCCAGCAUUGGUAUUCGGAUUCUAAAUGCAUGGUGCAAGGUUCGUUACGCCAUGGACUCUUUAUCACCAAAAAAUAUAUCCAUGGCUGCAUUGCCAACACAACCUCCAGCUUCCUUAGUCCAGCCUGCUGUGUUAGCGUCUGUUCCGAUACUUGCCUUGCCAGCAGCCCCAGACCCCAAACCUCCGGACUACAGUUCCUCACCAGAGGACCCAAUCCUGCAAAAAUACCGUGGUCUGGCUGGCAAUGAUCCUACUCUUUCAGCGGCAGAACCAGCUACCCCUUUUCAACGUGCAGUCCUUGCCUGUUCCUUAAUUCAGGAUACUAUGGCAUUCCCUGUUAUUGUGCCCCCCUGCUGGCGCUCCAGCAGGAUCUCAAGCCCAACACCAACCUUUUGACUUUAAGAUCUUGAAAGAGCUGCAGCAGUCAGUAAAGACCAAUGGACUCCAAGCCCCAUAUACGCAGGCGCUUUUAGAAGCCACAUUAGCCCAGCUCUUGGUUCCAGAGGACAUCAAGCUUUUGACCCAUACAGUGUUACCCCCAUCAGCUGGUGUUUUGUUUGCCCACGAAUGGGAAACUGCCUGCCGUGCUUAUGCUCCAGCUUUGUUACAACAAAUCAGAGGAAAUAAUCCAAAUAUUACCCUCACAGACGUCAUAGAUGCCAUGAUGGGGCGUGGUCCCUUCGUUCAGGCUUCAGUGCAAGCCACACUGCUGCAAAUCUUAUUGAGGGACACUGCUCUUGCUGCUAAACAAGCAAUGAGAAAAAUCCCAGAACCCAGUAUUCAAUCAAGGUGGGGUUCAAUCAGGCAAGAGGCAAGAGAAUCAUAUUCUUCCUUUAUGGACAGGCUGCUUACAGCAGUGAGUCGCCAAAUUGAAAAUCCUGAAGCCAAACAAAUAAUUAUCAAACAACUGGCCUUUGAAAAUGCCAAUGAGGAUUGUAAGGUUGCGUUACAACCGAUAAUACACAAUCCUGCCACAGACACAGCAGCCAUGCUUCGCAUUUGUCAGUCUGUAGGUACAGCCACCCACAAGGCUCAUCUGCUGGCAGCAGCGCUAAAUGAAAACCAGCCUGUAGCCACCGAUACAACUUGUUUCCAGUGUGGCAAACCAGGAUCACCGAUACCCCAGUGUGGGUAGAACAGUGGCCUCUACCAAAAGAAAAAUCCGCAGCAGCGGCACCAGCUUGGUUCUGAACAGCUUAUUUUUGAACAAUUGACUUUCGGCCACAUUGAACCAUCUUCAUCCCACUGGCUCCAGCAGACAGGGAAUGGUUUGCUUUUACAUUGCCAGUAUAUAACAAUUCGCAGCCCACCCAGCGAUAUCAGUGGGUUGUCCUGCCUCAGGGCAUGCGGAACUCCCCUACACUUUGUCAACAUUUUGUGGGUGAAGCAUUGAAACCUUUCCGCAUGCGCCACCUAGAGGUGCUGCACAUGAGCUGCAUCUGGCAGUGUUUGCCUUCCUCACCAUUUGCCUUGCCAUCCUUUGCUGCACCGUUAUACAAGGAAGAGAAGCAGACGACCCAGUCCAGUUGAAACCACCAUAAUUCACCUUAUCGGCUGGCAAGCAGCUGUCGCCUGCUUCCUACUCUGGCUGGCAGUAUCCACGGCUCAGCCACUCUUGAACUAGAAGAACAGCGUUGUUGAAUAAGACUUUUAGGGGAGAAAAUUAUCAUAAGAUAUGGAGGGAUAAUAUUUUUGUACAAGAUAUGAUUAUGUUUACCGGUUUAUUACAUGCUUCUAAAUGUUGGUUGUGUAUGCACAUGCCCCCCUUUGCCAGUCAUUCCGGCAUAAUGCUUCAUGGGGUGCCUGUCAAUGGAUCUUUUCAAUUUACUAAUAUUAUAUCCCCUAAGCAAACUUUUUGGCCUCCAGUACAAUUGACCCUCCAUGAGCCUGCCCCCAUUUGUUUUCAAAUUAAAGAGGGGAAAGAAUCAUGGGGCAUAUAUCCAAACUGUCAAUACACAUUGAAUUUCACUUUUAAUAGCUCUUGUUCUCUUACAGGAACAUCCAGUGACCAAUCUCAGUGCUAUAGGAGUGACACCAGUGCAUGGCUAAUAAACUAGAAAGGAAGCCUACCAUGCAGCUUGGAAUCAGAAUUCUUAUAUUCUUGGCUUCCGGAUGGAAGUUGGCUUCAACAUUUAUUGAUUUUAGUGAUCAUUAUAGUAGUUAUUUGCAUUAUUUUGUGUUGCUGUAUACAAUGUAUUCCUUCUUUAACCUCUAUAUGUACUGCAUGGUUCUCCCGUCAGCGGCCUGCUUCUGGCCUCACAAGAGUUGCCUAUUGCACUCGAUAUAACCGUAUUGGUAAUGACAUAUAUAACUCUGAUAUAAAAUAAAGAAAGAGGGCAUGUGGGAGCCAUGAAGUCAUGGCAAAGGCUUGUAGUGCCACCUGGUGCCUCGCUGACCUCAGUGACCUGCAUGUCCGUGCCUUGCAGUGUAUUAAGUGCAUAACCUUAUAUGGCGAUGGCGGGUUAAAGCCAUGACCGGAUGUAGGUAACAUGAGACAUUGGCAAACGGCCAUGCGACAGGAGAGAACAAAGGAUAAUAAAAGAUACCGGAGAGGAGAGAAGUUCGAAAGGAGCUGCUCAUACCAUCCUGAAAAUAUUGCUGGCUCUCUGUGUCUUUAUUUUAUGCUAAACUGCGCCAUUUGUGACGGCUGGCUUCCGUCA